rnacentral:piRNA from 1 species
UGAUUGAUGAUGAUGGUACCAGACAGGGGA